AUGACCCAGUCUGGUAAUCCCAGAGGACUUCGAACCCACCCUCUGCUGGUUGGUCCAUUCAGCCACUGCUGCGCACAGAGGCCUCUCUUGCAGUUCGAUCAUUGCUUGCUUCCCCCCGCGCCCUGCGGCAAGAUGGGAGCGGACGAGAGAGACGAGGCAAGGCUUCCUUUCUCUUACAGUUCAACCAUUGAUUUCUUGCUGUGGAGGCUUUCAGAGAUCCCGACCUGCAGCUUGGAUUUUCAUGACGCCUCAUCAAAAACCAAUCCUCUUAUGUGGGAGAGAGGAGACCAAGUGGAAAUACCCCCCCCCCCCUUCUCUGCAUCUUCUUACCAACUCUGGGCAGCCAACUAUGCCUAA
rnacentral:rRNA from 1 species